GCAAUUUUCAUUCUUGACAGGAAUUCCUAGUAAAUUCNAGUCAUUAGGCUGCAUUGAUUACGUCCCUGCCCUUUGUACACACCGCCCGUCGCACCUACCGAUUGAAUGACUCGGUGAAAAAUUGGGACCGUGAGUCCGUUUGCUUUAUUGCGAGUGGAUUGAUGGGAACUUUUUUAAACCUCGCCAUUUAGAGGAAGGUGAAGUCGUAACAAGGUUUCCGUAGGUGAACCUGCGGAAGGAUCAUUA
rnacentral:rRNA from 1 species